rnacentral:rRNA from 1 species
CCGGGAAACUGGGGAUAAUACCCUAUAGGUUACAGACGCUGGAAUGCCCUGUAACCGAAAGUUCCGGCGCCUCAGGAUGGAUCUGCGGCCGAUUAGGUUGUUGUCGGGGUAACGGCCCAACAAGCCAGUAAUCGGUACGGGUUGUGGGAGCAAGAGCCCGGAGUUGGAUUCUGAGACACGAAUCCAGGCCCUACGGGGCGCAGCAGGCGCGAAAACUUUACAAUGCGGGCAACCGUGAUAAGGGAACCUCGAGUGCCUGUAUAUGCAGGCUGUCUGAGUGUCUAAAACACACUCAAAGAAAGGGCCGGGCAAGACCGGUGCCAGCCGCCGCGGUAAUACCGGCGGCUCGAGUGGUGGCCACUUUUAUUGGGCUUAAAGCGUUCGUAGCUGGGUUGUUAAGUCCCUUGGGAAAUCCGGCGGCUCAACCGUCGGGCGUCUAAGGGAUACUGGCAGUCUUGGAACCGGGAGAGGUGAGGGGUACUUCGGGGGUAGGAGUGAAAUCCUGUAAUCCUCGAGGGACCACCUGUGGCGAAGGCGCCUCACCAGAACGGCUUCGACAGUGAGGGACGAAAGCUGGGGGAGCAAACCGGAUUAGAUACCCGGGUAGUCCCAGCCGUAAACGAUGUGCGUUAGGUGUAUCGAUGACCACGAGUCAUCGAGGUGCCGAAGGGAAACCGUGAAACGUACCGCCUGAGAAGUACG